GGUCUGCACCCGCGGCACAGUCAGGUCCACCGCCACCGCCACCGCCACCUGAAACGAUGACGACACUUUCGGGUUCUGCAGUUCGGCCCACGUACGUGCCGCGACCGGCACAUUUGUACUCGGCAGCGCCCGGCUCGUCGCUGUUUCCGUCGAUGGAUCCCUACGGCGCUGGAUCUUCGUCUCUUCGUCGUCCAAUACACGAUUUAGAGUACCGGUAGGUGGGAGGGACAGACGACGAUGAGGAGAUUCAGGAGGUAGACGACCUCGCGCAGAUGGAGUGGGUGAACACGUUCUUCUCUUCUGCACCGACGCAGGAGGUCGUCGGCACUUCACAGCUGGGGGGUGCCCCACUCGCGACGCAGGACUACAGUCAGGUGGAACAGACGCCUGUUCCUGAGCAGGGUCGUCGGUCCACUCGCCAGACCAUCCCGCCGGAGCCACUGACGUACUCACAGCACCACACUAGGGCGGGCCAGGCUGCAGAGCGACGUGGCAGGAGG